GCCCUCACUUCACCUCUAAUACCACCAAACCUGUUCUUACAGAGCAGGAAAACAAACAAUGGUCACAACCUUUCAGCCCAUCUGCACACCUGGUUACCUCGUGCCUCUGCUGGGAGUGUAUUAGUUACAGCAGGUGCCAACUUCUCUGGCUCUGCCGUCACUGUUGACUUGAGCUGAAAAGCUUUCAACAGCUGGGAAACUCCACACUGGGCUCGUGUCCAAGAGAUUGUAUCUAGAGCACACUCAGAGAAAGACAAGAUUUCCUGGGAAAUGGUACCAUCAUACCCCACUGCUAAGACUAGUCCGGACAUGUCACUUCUUACAAAUGGUGGAAUGAUUUGUGAAAAGCAGGAAGGGGAGGUUUACCUUUGGCUGGAAUAUCUGACAUGAAGUCACACCCGCUUUCCAUUAACACAGGGGCUUUCACCGAUGACACACCCAAUCUGUCAGGUUACAACACCCACGGGAGUCCCCAACUUACCACAAUAGCAGGCUGACACGGAGCAUUGCAACUGACACAAAUCAACGUCAGGAAGUGUUGAAAGUGAAACAAGGUGAUAAACGGCUGCUUCGUCAUAAAUCCCCCCAUCAUUUUUUCCACUUGUGAACAGGAGCACACACUAAACCUGAGAAAUGAACUCCCACAGAAUAAAUCUUAAAUCUAUGGAUUAUUUUAUUCUGACUUUCAUGUUAUCUUCCUACUCCUUUAAUUAAAGGCCACCUGGAUAAGAGGGCAUUGUCCUACACCUUGAGGAUGUCUGGAUUACUUUAGUUUUUUGUUAUAUAUUGUAUUUUUGCACUCCAAAUAUGUGGAAUAAAUAUCACACAACUUAUCUUGGUGCAGGUCAAUGAGAAGGGCUUUCUUAUAGGGGUGAAAAAAGUAACUAGUGUGCUAAAGUAUGAUAAAGUUUUUUUCCUUAAAGCUCCUGUGAAGAGUUUUAAUCUGGCAGACAAACAGAUUGAAAUUGACAGUGGUGCCUCUUAGUCAAUGACAAAAACAAAUGGGACCAUCAGUAACACGAAAGCCUUUAACUUCUGAAAGUAUGAAGGUUUCAGACCUGACAAUUGGCAGCACACUGAAGAAACAGCCUUUUGUUUUCACGAAAUGUUUACAAUGAGUGAUAUAUUAAAAAGCAGGAUGAUAUUUUGUUGUUAGGAUAUACUACCUUCUGGGAAU